rnacentral:rRNA from 1 species
UACGAGGGGGGCGAGCGUUGUUCGGAAUUACUGGGCGUAAAGCGUGCGUAGACGGUAGCGUAAGUCGGGUGUGAAAGCCCCGGGCUCAACCUGGGAAUUGCAUUCGAGACUGCUCUGCUAGGGUGCGGAAGAGGGAAGCGGAAUUUCCGGUGUAGCGGUGAAAUGCGUAGAUAUCGGAAGGAACACCAGUGGCGAAAGCGGCUUCCUGGUCCAGCACCGACGUUCAGGCACGAAAGCGUGGGGAGCAAACAGG